UACAGAGGGGGCAAGCGUUAUUCGGAAUUAUUGGGCGUAAAGGGCGCGUAGGCGGCUUUGCAAGUGGCGGGUGAAAUCCCUCGGCUUAACCGAGGAACUGCCUGCCAGACUGUGAGGCUUGAGACCGGGAGAGGAGAGUGGAAUUCCUGGUGUAGCGGUGAAAUGCGCAGAUAUCAGGAAGAACACCAAUGGCGAAAGCAGCUCUCUGGGACGGUACUGACGCUGAGACGCGAAAGCGUGGGGAGCGAACAGG
rnacentral:rRNA from 1 species